rfam:Myotis davidii contig205727, whole genome shotgun sequence.
AGGCCCGAAAAGAGAGGCAGGGUCUGAUCUGCAGCCUCCGUGGCAGCUGUUGACCAGCCAUUGCCUCUCUUUCUCUCUGGG